CAUAAGGGCGUAUGGUGAAUGCCUUGACUUUGAGAGACGAUGAAGGACGUAGUGUGGCUGCGAUAAGCCUCGGGGAGCUGCCUAGCAAGCUUUGAUCCGGGGAUCUCCGAAUGGGGAAACCCAUCUCGGGUAAUGCCGAGAUACUCUAUGAAUGUUCAUAGAGAGUAAACCCAGGGAAGUGAAACAUCUCAGUACCUGGAGGAAAAGAGAACAAUUGUUAUUCCCUUAGUAGCGGCGAGCGAAAAGGGAAAAGCCCAAACCGGUCAAUUAUUCGUAAUUUACCGGGGUUGUAAGGGAGUAUCGUUUAUUCAGUUAAAGGGAGGUAAGUAAGAUAGUAUUUAUAGUGGAAGGAGGCUGGGAAGCCCCACCAUAGAGGGUAAUAGUCCCGUACGCGAAAUAAAUACUACACUCCUUGAUGCUCUUCUUGAGUACUUCGACAAAAGGUUGCGUCGGGGGAAUCUGGCGGAACUAACCGCUAAGGCUAAAUACUCUCAAAGAUCGAUAGUGAACUAGUACCGUGAGGGAAAGGUGAAAAGUAGCCCGGUGAGGGCAGUGAAAUAGUACCUGAAACCAUACGCUUACAAGGAAUCGGAGCCUUGGUAUCUUCGGAUACCGGGUGACGGUGUGCCUAUUGAAGAAUGAGCCAACGAGUUAUUGUGUAUCCUUUGUCUAAGGGCUUACGGUCCGGAGGCGCAGGGAAACCAAGUGUUAAUAGCGCGCAUGCCCUAAUGCAAAUUAGGGCGAGGGUACAUGAUAGACCCGAAGCUAGGUGAGCUUGCCAUGGCCAGGGUGAACCUUAGGUAAAACUAAGAGGAGGCCCGAACCGGUUGGUGGUGCAAAACCAUCGGAUGAGCUGUGGUAAGGAGUGAAAAGCUAAUCGAACCUAGUAAUAGCUGGUUCUCUCCGAAAUAGCUUUAGGGCUAGCGCUUCAUAUUACGCGGGGGUAGAGCUACUGGAUGGGGUGCAAAGGGCGCAAGCUCGGCUCUCCAAUCAAACUCCGAAUACCGCGUGUUAAAAGUAUGAAGUAGUCAGACUGUGGGGGCUAAGCUCCACUGGUCGAAAGGGAAACAGCCCAGAUCGCCAUCUAAGGUCCCUAAGUGUAUGUUAAGUGUUACAAGGAAGUAAGGCCUCAUAAACAGCGAGGAGGUUGGCUUAGAAGCAGCCAUCCUUUAAAGAGUGCGUAAUAGCCCACUCGUCGAGAGUCCUUGCGCCGAAAAUAAUCGGGGCUAAACAUACCACCGAAGGUGCGAACACGUGAGCUUCAUGGAAGAAGUAACAUAGAACUCUAAUUGCGAGUAGCUCAAUGGUAGAGCAUCCGACCAAUGUUGGUUUGGAGAUUGAAGGUUUAAAUCCUUCCUCGCAAGUUUUUUCAGGGAAGCAUAGUAAUGUUUCCCUCUUCCAUGAAGCUCAUGUGUGGUAGGAGAGCGUUUCGUUCGCAAUGAAGCCGUAUCCGUGAGGGGCGGUGGAGCGUACGGAAGUGAGAAUGUUGGCACAAGUAACCACAAUGGAGGUGAGAUUCCUCCACACCGAAAGCCCAAGGUUUCCUUGGCAAUGGAGAUCAGCCAAGGGUGAGGCGGGCCUUAGGCGAUGGCGAAAGCCGGAGCUGAUGGACAGACGGUUAAUAUUCCGUCCCUUUGUAUAGAUGCGAUGGAGUGACGGGGAGGCGUACAUACUGCGUGUUAUUGGAUUCGCGUUCAUUGCGCGGAGGUGUUCCUUAGGUAAAUCCGGGGAACGUCCUGAUGCAAAUCGGGAAAACCAAUGCGUUGUGAAAAUUCUUCCUCUCGGGGAAGGAAAUAGUAUGGAGAGCUCCUCCAGGAAAACCUUCUAAGCUUAAUCUAUAUAAAACCGUACCAAAACCAACACAGGUGGGCAGGGCGAGAAGCCUAAGGUGAACGGGUGAUUCCUCCCUAAGGAACUCGGCAAAAAAGCGACCGUAACUUAGGAAUAAGGUCUGCCGUGGAUAAAACCAUGGCCGCAGCUAAAGUCUUCCUGGCGACUGUUUACCAAAAACACAGCUCCCUGCGAACUCGUAAGAGGAUGUAUAGGGGGUGACACCUGACCAAUGCGGGAAGGUUAACGGAGGAUGUCAUGGGGGUUCGCCCUUAUGGCUGGUGCCCGAAGCCCCCGUCAAUGUCGGCCGUAACUAUAACGGUCCUAAGGUGAAUUGCUUGCCUUAGUAAAAUCUAGCCAUAUGCUGGGACAUCUGUGGAUAAAAUCUUCAAGAAUCCAGUGCUACUAUGGCAAUAUACGACCAUAGAAUAUAAUGUAUAUGCCAAGUGAAAAUGCAUCUGGUGCAGACAAUCAGCAGGAAAGGUUAGGAACGGCUUAUUGGAUAAGUGGAUUUACUGACGGAGAAGGUUGCUUCUCUGUCGCGCUUAUCAAAAAUUCAACGACACGAUAUGGAAAGCAAAUUUUUCCGGAAUUCGUUGUUACACAAAGCAGUAAAAGCUUACAAUCCUUACAGGAUAUUCAAAAUUAUUUUGGAUGUGGCAGUAUUAUAUUGAAUAAACGAUAUGAUAACCAUAAUGAGCAUUUAUAUCGCUAUUGCGUAAGAUCAAUCGUUGAAUUGGAUAAAGUAAUUAUUCCAUUCUUUGAGCAAUACCCAUUACGAACAUACAAGAAAAAUGAUUUCGUUAUUUUUAAGGAAGUCAUUAGAUGUAUGAGAAACAAAGAACAUCUGCAAAAGGCAGGAUGGGAAAAAAUUGUGAAGGAUAUUAGUUUAAUGAAUCGGAAGAAAAAACGUUCCUAGAAUCCUCAGAGACUAUACGCUAGACUUUGCAUUCUAAUAUGCAUUGAAGAUAUAGUCCGACCUCUAUGGCGACAUAGAGAGCAUGUCAGAAAUGGACAUGCCUCCUACUAAAUAGUAGGAAGUAACAAUUGUGAGCGCAAUUCCUUGUCGGGUAAGUUCCGACGCGCACGAAAGGUGUAACGACUGGGAAACUGUCUCGGGGAGGAGCCCGGUGAAAAUGCAAUACCGGUGAAGAUGCCGGUUACCUGCUGCGGGACGAAAAGACCCCANNNNNNNNNNNNNNNNNNAGCAUAGGUGGGAGGCUUUGAAGCUUUGCUCUCGGGCAAGGUGGAGCCGUCAGUGAAAUACCACCCUUAUAUGGUUUAUGCUCUAACCUACCCAAAACACGGUGGGAACAGUGCCUGGUGGGUAGUUUGCGUGGGGCGCGAUCCUCCAAAAAAGUAACGGAGGAGUCUAUUAAGGUCGGCUAGGCGCGGAUGGAAAUCGCGCUGGUAGGGCAAUGCCAUAAGCCGGCUUAACUGCAAGGGGGACAUCCCGAGCAGAUGCGAAAGCAGAGCAUAGUGAUCCGAUGUCUCGUUUUAGAAACAAGGCAGAGCUCAACGGAUAAAAGCUACUCUGGGGAUAACAGGCUAGUCGGAUCCGAGAGUCCAUAUCGACGAUCCGGUUCGGCACCUCGAUGUCGGCUCGUCCUAUCCUGGGGGUGGAGAAGCUCCCAAGGGUUUGGCUGUUCGCCAAUUAAAAGGGCACGCGAGCUGGGUUCAGACCGUAAAGUAGCUUUUGGCUACUGAUAUAUAUCUUUUAGCUAAAGGAUAUUUUACGAUCUGAAUCCGUUCGCACGCUAAACAUCAUAUCCAAAGUGUCUUUUCGAACCAAAAAUUUAAAGAAAGAAAUCAAUCAUAUCACGGCGGUCUUUCUUCUCAUGUAAUGGGGAGGAAAGAAAAAGUUAGCUAUAUCGGCAAAACCCCACUCACUACGGAAGGGUAAUACCGAGGGAAGUCUGAUAGUAUCAGAUCCCGUAGAGACUAGACGCUAACCUUCGCGAAGAAGCGAAGAAGAUAUAGUCCAAUGCAUGCAGUAAUGUGUGAUAUCAUGCGUGAGACAGGUUGGUCUCCUAUCUGUAGCAGGCGUGAGGUUCUUGAGGAGAGUCGUCCCUAGUACGAGAGGACCGGGAUGAACUGACCUCUGGUCUACCAGCUGUUCUGCCAAGAGCAUCGCUGGGUAGCUAAGUCGGGAACGGAUAACCGCUGAAAGCAUCUAAGCGGGAAGCCGACUCCAAGAUUAGGAACCAUGGAUCCCUCGAAGACUACGAGGUUGAUAGGCUCUAGGUGGAAGUAUGGCAACAUAUUGAGCCGAGGAGUACUAAUAGAUUCUACG
rnacentral:rRNA from 1 species